CCAGACUCCUACGGGAGGCAUCAGUGGGGAAUCUUCCGCAAUGGACGAAAGUCUGACGGAGCAAUGCCGCGUGAGUGAUGACGGCCUUCGGGUUGUAAAGCUCUGUUAAUCGGGACGAAAGGCCUUCUUGCGAAUAGUGAGAAGGAUUGACGGUACCGGAAUAGAAAGCCACGGCUAACUACGUGCCAGCAGCCGCGGUAAUACGUAGGUGGCAAGCGUUGUCCGGAAUUAUUGGGCGUAAAGCGCGCGCAGGCGGAUAGGUCAGUCUGUCUUAAAAGUUCGGGGCUUAACCCCGUGAUGGGAUGGAAACUGCCAAUCUAGAGUAUCGGAGAGGAAAGUGGAAUUCCUAGUGUAGCGGUGAAAUGCGUAGAUAUUAGGAAGAACACCAGUGGCGAAGGCGACUUUCUGGACGAAAACUGACGCUGAGGCGCGAAAGCCAGGGGAGCGAACGGGAUUAGAUACCCCGGUAGCCCUGGCCGUAAACGAUGGGUACUAGGUGUAGGAGGUAUCGACCCCUUCUGUGCCGGAGUUAACGCAAUAAGUACCCCGCCUGGGGAGUACGACCGCAAGGUUGAAACUCAAAGGAAUUGACGGGGGCCCCGCACAAG
rnacentral:rRNA from 1 species